CCAAACAGGGGAUUGCCUUAGUAGCGGCGAGUGAAGCGGCAGAGCUCAAAUUUGAAAUCUGGUACUUUCAGUAUCCGAGUUGUAAUUUGAAGAAAGUUAUCUUGGAGUUGGCCCUUGUCUAUGUUCCUUGGAACAGGACGUCACAGAGGGUGAGAAUCCCGUGCGAUGGGGUGCCCAUAGCUAUGUAAGAUACUUUCGACGAGUCGAGUUGUUUGGGAAUGCAGCUCAGAAGUGGGUGGUAAAUUCCAUCUAAAGCUAAAUAUUGGCGAGAGACCGAUAGCGAACAAGUACAGUGAUGGAAAGAUGAAAAGAACUUUGAAAAGAGAGUGAAAAAGUACGUGAAAUUGUUGAAAGGGAAGGGUAUUUGAUCAGACUGAUAUUCAGUUAACACUGUUCCUUGUGGAUGGUGCUCUAGCUUUUUAUUGGGCCAGCAUCAGUUUAGGUGGCAGGAUAAGAACUGUUGAACGUGGCUCUUCGGAGUGUUAUAGCUUCAGUUGAUACUGCCUAUCUAGACUGAGGUCUGCGGCUUUGCCUAGGAUGCUGGCGUAAUGGUCUAAUACCGCCCGUCUGAAAAACCACGGACCAAUUUACGGCCAGCAUGCUAGGCAGCAUACUCGUCUAGAUAGGCGUAUCACUGAAGCUAUACAUCAACAGCGGUAGUGUUCUUAUCUGCUAUCUGAAGGUGGCAUAAAGUAAGCACAGGGACGUGUUUACGAAAUAUCGCAUAUCUCUUCAGCAUCUUUCUCUUUCAAGUUUUCUCCUGACUGGUCAUGCGUCAGAUUGACUUAAUGGAAACUCAAGCUGACUACUGCCAGUACUCUAAAAGGCAGUCUGGGACUGCUCGCAUAAG
rnacentral:rRNA from 1 species